rnacentral:rRNA from 1 species
UACGUAGGUGACAAGCGUUAUCCGGAAUUACUGGGCGUAAAGCGCACGCAGGCGGCUGCGUAAGUCUGACGUGAAAUCUCCCGGCUUAACCGUGAGCGGUCGUUGGAAACUAUGCGGCUUGAGGCGAUGAGAGGGGUGUGGAAUUCCCGGUGUAGUGGUGGAAUGCGUAGAUAUCGGGAGGAACAUCAGUGGCGAAAGCGGCACCCUGGCAUUAGCCUGACGCUCAGGUGCGAAAGCGUGGGGAGCGAACGGG